rfam:Legionella feeleii strain WO-44C Lfee_ctg080, whole genome shotgun sequence.
CCUAUGAUUCGGAUCAUAGUAGCCUAGUUCAUCCUGCGUUACUGGUAAGAGUUUCGUACGAAGAUCGAAUGACAAUGUACUGAAAUUUACUGACGUAAACGUCGUGAAUUUGCUGACAAGUAAAGCACGAAUCUGGAAGCCUCAUCCGGAAUAAGGC